rnacentral:rRNA from 1 species
GAUGAACGCUGGCGGCGUGCCUAAUACAUGCAAGUCGAACGAAACUUCUUUAUCACCGAGUGCUUGCACUCACCGAUAAAGAGUUGAGUGGCGAACGGGUGAGUAACACGUGGGCAACCUGCCCAAAAGAGGGGGAUAACACUUGGAAACAGGUGCUAAUACCGCAUAACCAUAGUUACCGCAUGGUAACUAUGUAAAAGGUGGCUAUACUACCGCUUUUGGAUGGGCCCGCGGCGCAUUAGCUAGUUGGUAGGGUAAAGGCUUACCAAGGCAAUGAUGCGUAGCCGAAUUGAGAGGUUGAUCGGCCACAUUGGGACUGAGACACGGCCCAAACUCCUACGGGAGGCAGCAGUAGGGAAUCUUCCACAAUGGGCGAAAGCCUGAUGGAGCAACGCCGCGUGGGUGAAGAAGGUCUUCGGAUCGUAAAACCCUGUUGUUAGAGAAGAAAGUGCGUGAGAGUAACUGUUCACGUUUCGACGGUAUCUAACCGGAAAGCCACGGCUAACUAUGUG